GUGUGCAGUGCACAGUGAAAUAAUAACAACAUGAUACAUUGCUUCCUCAGGAGAAAACCGUGAUGGUCCGACCCCUACAAGUCCAGCCCAAGGAGACUCAGGAAUCACAGAUGGGAAAGACUCAGCUGAGGACGUUAAAGUUGCAGACUCAGCUGACACCACAAAUCAGCCAGAUGGACAAGACUCAGAUGAACCAGGCAGUGAGACCGCAUCAAGCUCAGAGACCAUCGACGAUGCAGACCAAGUUGACAUGGAGGCUACAUCAAAGUCCAUCUCAAAAGAGGAAAGCAUGGAGAAGAGCACUGAGGCAGAUUCCAGAUUCCAGUUUUAACACCUCCUGUAAUUCAGCAUGGCAACAUCGUGGACAUGGUGUCUGUCAGGGUUUUUGGACUGCUAUACCCUUCAUGACCCUGUGGGGUCCUCAGUGUUCCUGUUUUGUCUUUCACAUGUGUGUUGGCUUUAUUGUUUCAUUGAGUUCACCUGUGCCUUGUUUGUUACCCUUUAUAAGCCACCUGAUUUUCCGUGUGUUUGCAGAGUCUUGAAACUGACACCCUACGGUUAGGUUGAGUAAGUUGCUCUGAGAAUCGCUGCCUUUGAUGCUAACUGCUGUUUUGAGUCCUUUUGUUUUUGUGUUCCUUUUGUUUCCCGUUUUUGGGAUAUCCUUAGUUGACACUGUUAAAAUUGCCCAGACUAUAUUUUUAGAUGUCUGGAAGUAUUUUGAGUUGCUGUUCUAACUGUGUGGAAACUUCUGCCUGACUCAAGUAAAGAAACCUUUUUUGAUUCUACCCAAGCAAGUCGUCUGUCUCUGUCUCUGCAUCUGAGUCAUCACCCUCUCGUAGCACAGUGGUAGGCAAUCCGCCUACUAUGCUGGAGUCCCGACUGA
rnacentral:lncRNA from 1 species